UGAUUAGGAAUGAAUAAAUUAAGGUUUU
rnacentral:sRNA from 1 species